rnacentral:rRNA from 1 species
GACAGCAGUAGCCGCGGUAAUACGGAGGGAGCUAGCGUUGUUCGGAAUUACUGGGCGUAAAGCGCGCGUAGGCGGUUACUCAAGUCAGAGGUGAAAGCCCGGGGCUCAACCCCGGAACUGCCUUUGAAACUAGGUGACUAGAAUCUUGGAGAGGUCAGUGGAAUUCCGAGUGUAGAGGUGAAAUUCGUAGAUAUUCGGAAGAACACCAGUGGCGAAGGCGACUGACUGGGCAAGUAUUGACGCUGAGGUGCGAAAGCGUGGGGAGCAAACAGGAUUAGAUACCCCAGUAGUCCCUGUCUCUUAUAA